rnacentral:misc_RNA from 1 species
CAAAAAGAUAAUGCAUAUAAAGAAAGAUGUGAAUAGGCAAGGUAACCAAUAUUUACAUUCACAAACAAAAGAACAAAUCAGUUCCAGGCACAACAUCUAAAUUACAAUGCAACCAACAUGAAAUGGUGUAAAACCUCUCAAUAGAGGAAUGUCGAUUCAUAAAUUACCAGUUCACUAUUAUAUACAAAAUAUAGAAAAUAAAGCAUCUUAAGAUAACAUAAUACCCCAAUGCAUCAUCCAACAUUCUGAAAUUACCCACUGUUCAUCAACUUAUCCAGAACAAUAUUCAGGUCCACUGAUUGGCCAUUCUCUGUCAAUUUUCUCACUGUUGCUCUCACCAAGUCUCUUCGAAAUCCCAUAGCAACAACCUUGUCAACAACAUCAUCAACAGGCAUCCUGUUUCCACCCUCACCAGAGCUUGAUCCACUGUCCACGCUAGAGGCAGUUGGAAUAGCAUGUGGUAAUAUGCGGGCAGUCGGCAAAUGUGAGAAACCAAUUUCACCAGUGCUGACUGAAGGAGAUGGUGAGGGUUGAAUGGAUUUCAUAGUUGAACUGCAAUUGUGGGUAGGAGUAUUAUAACGAUUAAAGUCCACAAUAUUAGUGUACCCCUGUGGUGGUGGAUUUGCAGAAGUACACUCUGAAUGAUGCAAGUUUGUGGGUUGAUCAGUAGAACCAAUAUUAAAUAACUGGGGAGAGAGAGGCCUAUCAUGUGGUUGAGAGGAUCUGUGAAUGGCUUGAGAUGGCACAAAAGGAACUUCUUCAGGAUGGUGGCUUCGGAAUUGAGGAUUUACCACAGUGAAAGAUGACUGCACUUGAGGCAACUGAGACAAGUGUGAAUUUAGGGGAAGAUGACGUGGUGGUUGAUAAGGCCGGUGACUAUAAGGUGGAUGUGAUUGCUGAGUUGGAAUUACAUAUUUUUGAUGACUGGUUCCUGGAGUGGAAACUGGAAGUGGUGGGUAGUAAGUUUCUUGCUGUGGAACAGAGGGGACAAAUUGCGAGGGAAGUGGUGCAGUUGCUGAAAUUGUCGGAAGGUGAGAUGCUGCAGGUGUGGGAAACUGUUGCGCUGCAGCUGCAGGUUUUGUCAGAGGUUGAUUCUGAAGAGGUAAAUUUUUAAUAUUAGAAUACAAAGAAGGAACUUGUUGUGGACAAGCAACUGGGACUGGAAGUUGUUGGUUUGAUUGCUGAGAGACUGAAGACAGUGCCUCUGUUCCCAAACUAGAAUGAAUAGUGUUGUUUUGCUUUUCCAGUUGUGAGUCAUCCUUGGACAUACGAAGCUUUGCCAACCGCAGCUGAGUCUCUGCUAUCUCUUGUUUAUCCCUCAAAUCUUUGAUCCCACCAUGGACCUCUAUUAGAAUAUUCUCUAACUCCCUUAGCUUUCUGUCGGUUCUUCCAUGAUUAAAUUCAAUUGAUUCCUUCAAAUCAUCAAAGGUAUUUUCUACUUGCCGUGUUCUACUUUCCAUCUGAGAUAGUCGUGCACUGAGACACUCCACUAAGUGUAGCAAAACAUCAGCAUGUUCCUUCAACUUUUGAUCAAUCCUGGAAAUCAAUUCUACAUCGCCGAAAAUCCCAACUUUCUCACCAGAGAAUUUUGUAGAAUGUUGGCCCAUCGAAUUCCAACCCUGUAAUUUAUACAAGCAACACCUAAAACAAGUAUUCAAACAACACCUAGAACAUAAUGUAUAUUACUUGAACAUAUAUACAGUAAAUUAUUGUUAUGCAAACUAAUGCACCAAUGUGCGAUCUAAUAACAGUUGUCCAACAAAACAAAUUGGAGAUAUAGCUGAUUAUUUAGAUAAAUAAUUGAACAACAUGGAAAACUGAGUGAAUUCAACUAAAUAAAAUUUAACAUCAUGCCCCCAAACCCAAAAUCAACUGGAAGCAAGAUAAACAAUCCAACUCUCUAGUAACAUAAAACUUAAAUCGAGUAAGCUUCGCUUCAAACCAGAAAUACAAUAAAGUUAGGGUCUUUAUUGAAUACCCAGUGAUGGAAACUCAAGAAAUUAAAGGGUGACUUAUUAUGUGCAUUUUACAUGUAAAAUUUUCGAUAGCCGGCCUUAGAUUCUUGUAAUUUCCGCCAUUUCCAGGACAAACAAAUACCACUUAGGAAAAAAAAAUAAAAAAAA